AUUGAACGCUGGCGGCAGGCUUAACACAUGCAAGUCGAGCGGAGAGAGGUAGCUUGCUACUGAUCUUAGCGGCGGACGGGUGAGUAAUGCUUAGGAAUCUGCCUAUUAGUGGGGGACAACAUUUCGAAAGGAAUGCUAAUACCGCAUACGUCCUACGGGAGAAAGCAGGGGAUCUUCGGACCUUGCGCUAAUAGAUGAGCCUAAGCCGGAUUAGCUAGUUGGUGGAGUAAAGGCCUACCAAGGCGACGAUCUGUAGCGGGUCUGAGAGGAUGAUCCGCCACACUGGGACUGAGACACGGCCCAGACUCCUACGGGAGGCAGCAGUGGGGAAUAUUGGACAAUGGGCGCAAGCCUGAUCCAGCCAUGCCGCGUGUGUGAAGAAGGCCUUAUGGUUGUAAAGCACUUUAAGCGAGGAGGAGGCUACUUUAGAUAAUACCUAGAGAUAGUGGACGUUACUCGCAGAAUAAGCACCGGCUAACUCUGUGCCAGCAGCCGCCGUAA
rnacentral:rRNA from 1 species